AAGAAGUCAGGCCAGAUUAAGCCAUAGUACGGAAAGAGCUAUGCUGCCUGUGAGCCCCGUCC
rnacentral:lncRNA from 1 species